CCUACGGGAGACAGCAGUGAGGAAUAUUGGUCAAUGGGCGGGAGCCUGAACCAGCCAAGUCGCGUGAGGGAAGACGGUCCUAUGGAUUGUAAACCUCUUUAGGCGGGGAGCAAUGCCGGGCACGCGUGCCCGGAGGGAGAGUACCCGCAGAAUAAGCAUCGGCUAACUCCGUGCCAGCAGCCGCGGUAAUACGGAGGAUGCGAGCGUUAUCCGGAUGUAUUGGGGUUAAAGGGUGCGUAGGCGGAUUUUUAAGUCAGCGGUAAAAUGUCCGGGCUCAACCCGGGCCGGCCGUUGAAACUGGGGAUCUUGAGUGGGCGAGAAGUAUGCGGAAUGCGUGGUGUAGCGGUGAAAUGCAUAGAUAUCACGAAGAACUCCGAUUGCGAAGGCAGCAUACCGGCGCCCGACUGACGCUGAGGCACGAAAGCGUGGGGAUCGAACAGGAUUAGAUACCCCUGUAGUC
rnacentral:rRNA from 1 species